rnacentral:tRNA from 2 species
CGGGGCGUGGCGCAGUCCGGUCAGCGCGCACGGUUCGGGUCCGUGAGGUCAGCGGUUCAAAUCCGCUCGCCCCGACCA